CGGACCUCGCGCUAUUAGAUGAGCCGUAGGUCGGAUUAGCUAGUUGGUGAGGUAAUGGCUCACCAAGGCGACGAUCCGUAACUGGUCUGAGAGGAUGAUCAGUCACACUGGAACUGAGACACGGCCCAGACUCCUACGGGAGGCAGCAGUGGGGGAAUAUUGGACAAUGGGCGAAAGCCUGAUCCAGCAAUGCCGCGUGAGUGAUGAAGGCCUUCGGGUUGUAAAGCUCUUUUACUCGGGACGAUAAUGACGGUACCGAGAGAAUAAGCCCCGGCUAACUCCGUG
rnacentral:rRNA from 1 species